ACAGAGGUCUUGGUCUUGCAUCUCGUAGAAGUCCUGGAUCCAUCACUUCUUUGUCUAGCCACAGCCCUUUUCUUUAACAUGGACACAGGACCACAAUUCCCAACACCCCAUCUACAAGAAGCCCAAGCAGCUUCCAGUUCCAUCAAAUGGCUGCUUUAUCAGUACACUCACCUAGGCAUUAAUCAAACCCGUUGAAGCAGACUUUUUUUUUUUUGGUCCAGUUCAGUUGUUGCACUGUGUUGUUUUCCAUGGAGUAAUUUAUCAGUCAUACGAUCUCACACGUAUGCUAUUGAAGAUGAAAAGAAAUUGAAUGUUGUGCUGUUCUUAAGUACGGUUACUUUAAAGUAAAAGUAUU